rnacentral:rRNA from 1 species
AGUUUGAUCAGUGGCUCAGGACACGCUGGCGGCGUGCUUAACACAUGCAAGUCGAGCGGAAAGGCUCCUUCGGGGGUACUCGAGCGGCGAACGGGUGAGUAACACGUGAGUAAUCUGCCCUUGGCUUUGGGAUAACUACCGGAAACGGUGGCUAAUACCGGAUACGACCACUCCUUGCAUGAGGUGGUGGUGGAAAGUUUUUCGGCCAGGGAUGUGCUCGCGGCCUAUCAGCUUGUUGGUGGGGUAAUGGCCUACCAAGGCUUCGACGGGUAGCCGGCCUGAGAGGGUGACCGGCCACACUGGGACUGAGACACGGCCCAGACUCCUACGGGAGGCAGCAGUGGGGAAUAUUGGACAAUGGGCGGAAGCCUGAUCCAGCAACGCCGCGUGAGGGAUGACGGCCUUCGGGUUGUAAACCUCUUUCAGUACCGACGAAGCGCCGAUGAUGGUGGUGACGGUAGGUACAGAAGAAGCACCGGCCAACUACGUG